CAACACCCUCGGGGUGGCCCAAACUGCGACCCCCCCGGUCCCCCGGCUGUGGGGUCUCAGCUGCUCCCUGGGACCCCCGGGAAGGGAAAGGGCCGCGGCGGCCGAACUCGUUUCACCGCUGCGGCAGCGCGGUCACGAGGCCAUUCCUGUCGCCGCUGUCACCGCGGCCGUGCCGCUCGUGUGACCGGUGUGUCAGCCGCGGCCGUGUCACGGGGUGGGAGGGGUCACAGCCCCCCCGGACCCCCCAAAAUCCCCCCCUGCCCCCCGCAGGGAGCGCAGCCCCCCCGAGCUCACCCGGCCGGGGCCAUCCCCGCACCGACAGCGCGGGAUAAUUAAACCAGGAGACGGAUGAGGAGCCUACGGCACAGACACCGACCACUUCCUAAGGACGGGCUGGGAAAAACCUGGAUUGGAGUUUGGCAACGAGAUCAGAGUUUGGCAAAUAAUAAUAAUUAAUAAUAAUAAUAAUGAAUGAGCAUUUGAAUGAUCGACCGGAGAGAAGGAGAAAACGAGGAGAGCCAAGGAUCCCACGUGGGCUCGGAGUAAAUGAAUUAUUGGGAUUUUGUUAAAUAAAGGUGGAUUUUUAAGGAUUUUGGGGGGGGAAAUAAAAAGGGGCAUUUGGGAGAGCCAGAGGCUCCGGGGUGUCCCGGCUCCAUCCCCAGACAGGGAGGGAGGGCGAGGCAAAGGGAGGGAAGCUGGAACAGGAGCAAUGUUUCCCUGGCCCUUUUAUUCCCAGAUUUCUAUUUUUGGCACUGGCUUCACCACAUCCCAUAAAGAAAGGCCGGACAGAUCUGGGCAUGUGGUUAAAUCCCAAAAAAAAAGGCUUUUGUGGAGCUGGGCUCCAGCUCCUUCUGCUCCCCCUUCCAGCACUUAAAAAGUUCUGAAAAGUCUUUUUUUUGUAUUUUUUUUUCAAAUUUUUUUAAAAUAAAUUUAUUUGGCAAAUGCACUAAACAAAGUACAAGCAACUACUGGGAAUCUGCACUUCUAUUUCUGCCAUACAAAAACACCCACA